rnacentral:rRNA from 1 species
UAACAUAUCAAUAAGCGGAGGAAAAGAAACCAACAGGGAUUGCCCCAGUAACGGCGAGUGAAGCGGCAACAGCUCAAAUUUGAAAUCUGGUCCCCAGGGCCCGAGUUGUAAUUUGUAGAGGAUGCUUUUGGUGAGGUGCCGCCCGAGUUCCCUGGAACGGGACGCCACAGAGGGUGAGAGCCCCGUCUGGCUGGCCGCCGAGCCUCUGUAAAGCUCCUUCGACGAGUCGAGUAGUUUGGGAAUGCUGCUCAAAAUGGGAGGUAUAUGUCUUCUAAAGCUAAAUAUUGGCCAGAGACCGAUAGCGCACAAGUAGAGUGAUCGAAAGAUGAAAAGCACCUUGAAAAGAGGGUUAAAUAGUACGUGAAAUUGUUGAAAGGGAAGCGCUUGUGACCAGACUUGGGCGCGGCGGAUCAUCCGGGGUUCUCUCCGGUGCACUUCGCCGCGUCUAGGCCAGCAUCAGUUCGUCGCGGGGGAAAAAGGCUUCGGGAACGUGGCUCCUCCGGGAGUGUUAUAGCCCGUUGCAUAAUACCCUGCGGUGGACUGAGGACCGCGCAUCUGCAAGGAUGCUGGCGUAAUGGUCACCAGCGACCCGUCUUGAAACACGGACCAAGGAGUCGUCUUCGUAUGCGAGUGUUCGGGUGUCAAACCCCUACGCGUAAUGAAAGUGAACGCAGGUGAGAGCUUCGGCGCAUCAUCGACCGAUCCUGAUGUUCUCGGAUGGAUUUGAGUAAGAGCAUACGGGGCCGGACCCGAAAGAAGGUGAACUAUGCCUGUAUAGGGUGAAGCCAGAGGAAACUCUGGUGGAGGCUCGCAGCGGUUCUGACGUGCAAAUCGAUCGUCAAAUAUGGGCAUGGGGGCGAAAGACUAAUCGAACCUUCUAGUAGCUGGUUUCCGCGAU